ensembl:lincRNA Gm4262 predicted gene 4262
GUCCCAGCCUUAAGAGUAUGUAGGCUUCUUCCCAGCCCUGGGUCCCCACAGUUCCGUGGGCCACGGAGGGGAUCCAGCGGCUUCAAGGAGAAUGAGAGAAACAGCUGAGGAAGGAAAAGCUUCGGUAGCAAGCAGGACAAAACGAAGAGCAAGCAAGGAGGGAUAAGGAGGUGGAAGAUGAUCCCAGGGCACUGGCUGACCACAGGUUUUAGGGUGCAUACAUGUUAUUAGACGCGUUCUCACGACCGGCCAGGAAGAACACCACAGACCAAAAUCUUCUGCGGCAAAACUUUAUUGCUUACAUCUUCNNNNNNNNNNNNNNNNNNNNNNNNNNNNNNNNNNNNNNNNNNNNNNNNNUGGCACAUGCGCAGAUUAUUUGUUUACCACUUAGAACACAGCUGUCAGCGCCAUCUUGUAACGGCGAAUGUGGGCGCGGCUCCCAACACAUACAGAGCAAAGGUGCUUCACUUCUGAGCGCCAUCACACCUGUUCUCAUUUGUUCCCCUCCCUCGCUGAGCCCACCCCUCCACCAAGUCCCUUUCUUCUUCCACACAGUGUCCCCUCUACAAUCCAUCACCCUGCCACCCCCUUUCCUUGAGAGCUCUUUCCUCUUUUUUCCCUUUUCCCAGCCAGCAAACACACAUGUAUAAGUAGAGACAUAAGUGCACACAUAUAGAUAGGCAUACAUGUACACAUUUAUGAUAGGGAUAUGUGCAAACAUGUCGAUACACAUGCACACAUGUAGAGAAAAAUAUACAUGCACAUAUAUAGACAUAUACACACCCAUAUACAGAGAGGCAUACGUGCUCACAUAUAAAUAGACAUGCACAUAUAUUUAGAUAUAGAUAGAGACAUACAUGCAUACUUGCUUUGUAGAUCAGGCUGGCCUCAAGCUCACAAAGAUCUGCUUGCCUCUGCCUCCUAAAUGCUGGGAUUAAAGGGAUGUGCCACUACCGCCCAGCUUCACCAAGUCUUCUUUUCAGGAAUUCACUGAAACAUCUUAUGAAAACUCACACCAGUGUCUUCCUUCAGAGAACCCAGGCUCCAGCUGUGGCUACCACAUAAGGGUUUUUAAUACAAGAAAAAUAAAGUAAUUAAGUCUGAAAAAAUAGAUAGGUGCACUAAUGUCCCUUUAAUGAGAUAAGGUGAUUUGCCUCCCCAGAACCCCGGCCUCCUGGUAGUUUCUUACAAUGUGACCACAUCCACCUGUGUGAGUGCCCACGCUUUCUGAAUUACUCAGGGAAGUGUAACCUCUCUUCUUUCUGUCUCUUCUCUAGGCAUGCCUUCCUAAUACUUUGGGCUUCCUCACUGUAAGGGUUAGCUUUGUCAGCUUGACCCAAAUCAGGGUCAUCUGGUAAAGGGAACCUCAGCUGACCAAAUGGUUCCAUUAGCCUGGCCUGUGGCCAAGUCUGUGAGGCAUUUUCUUCAUUAGUGACGGAUGUGGGAGGGGAGGGCCCAGCCCACUGUGGGUGAUACAGGUGGGCCUGGGUGCUGUAAGGAAGCAGCCUGAGCAAGCUGUGAAGCAAGCCAGUGUCCCCUGUAGCUUCUGCUCCCAUUCCUGUCCCCGGGUUCCUGUCUAGAGCUCCUACUCGACUCCCCUUGGUGACCUGACAUCUGUAAGAUGAAAUAAACUCUAAGUUCUUUGCCUACAUUGCCUUUGGUUUGUGUUUCAUCACAGCAAUAGGAUGCUCCCCUCCCUGACAUGUGACUGCCCUUUGUGCCUUUUAACUCCAGCAGGAAGACCGGUGGUCCCCUUCUCCUCCCUGUUCUCCACCUUCCAGCAGCUGCAGAGGUUUGUAGCUCACCUGCCCUCUAAUAAAGUUGUCCUCCAGCUUCCGUCU